UGCGCAGGCGGUUAUGCAAGACAGAUGUGAAAUCCCCGGGCUUAACCUGGGAAUUGCAUUUGUGACUGCAUGGCUAGAGUGUGUCAGAGGGGGGUAGAAUUCCACGUGUAGCAGUGAAAUGCGUAGAUAUGUGGAGGAAUACCGAUGGCGAAGGCAGCCCCCUGGGAUAACACUGACGCUCAUGCACGAAAGCGUGGGGAGCAAACAGGAUUAGAUACCCUGGUAGUCCACGCCCUAAACGAUGUCUACUAGUUGUCGGGUCUUAAUUGACUUGGUAACGCAGCUAACGCGUGAAGUAGACCGCCUGGGGAGUACGGUCGCAAGAUUAAA
rnacentral:rRNA from 1 species